rnacentral:rRNA from 1 species
GACGGAGGGUGCGAGCGUUAAUCGGAAUUACUGGGCGUAAAGCGCAUGUAGGCGGCCGAACAAGUCAGGUGUGAAAUCCUCGGGCUUAACCUGGGAAGUGCACUUGAUACUGUCCGGCUAGAGUUUGGCAGAGGAAAGUAGAAUUCCCGGUGUAGCGGUGAAAUGCGGAGAUAUCGGGAGGAAUACCAGUGGCGAAGGCGGUGGUCUGGGCCAAUACUGACGCUGAGGAGCGAAAGCGUGGGGAGCGAACAGG